rnacentral:rRNA from 1 species
CAGUCGCCGCGGGAAAACGGAGGGUGCAAGCGUUACUCGGAAUCACUGGGCGUAAAGGACGCGUAGGCGGAUUAUCAAGUCUCUUGUGAAAUCUAACGGCUUAACCGUUAAACUGCUUGGGAAACUGAUAAUCUAGAGUAGGGGAGAGGCAGAUGGAAUUCUUGGUGUAGGGGUAAAAUCCGUAGAGAUCAAGAAGAAUACCCAUUGCGAAAGCGAUCUGCUGGAACUUAACUGACGCUAAUGCGUGAAAGCGUGGGGAGCAAACAGGAUUAGAUACCCGCGUAGUCCCUGUCUCUUAUAC